rnacentral:rRNA from 1 species
CCUGAUGCAGCGACGCCGCGUGAGGGAUGACGGCCUUCGGGUUGUAAACCUCUUUCAGUAGGGAAGAAGCGAAAGUGACGGUACCUGCAGAAGAAGCGCCGGCUAACUACGUGCCAGCAGCCGCGGUAAUACGUAGGGCGCAAGCGUUAUCCGGAAUUAUUGGGCGUAAAGAGCUCGUAGGCGGUUUGUCGCGUCUGCCGUGAAAGUCCGGGGCUCAACUCCGGAUCUGCGGUGGGUACGGGCAGACUAGAGUGAUGUAGGGGAGACUGGAAUUCCUGGUGUAGCGGUGAAAUGCGCAGAUAUCAGGAGGAACACCGAUGGCGAAGGCAGGUCUCUGGGCAUUAACUGACGCUGAGGAGCGAAAGCAUGGGGAGCGAACAGGAUUAGAUACCCUGGUAGUCCAUGCCGUAAACGUUGGGCACUAGGUGUGGGGGACAUUCCACGUUUUCCGCGCCGUAGCUAACGCAUUAAGUGCCCCGCCUGGGGAGUACGGCCGCAAGGCUAAAACUCAAAGGAAUUGACGGGGGCCCGCACAAGCGGCGGAGCAUGCGGAUUAAUUCGAUGCAACGCGAAGAACCUUACCAAGGCUUGACAUGAACCGGAAAGACCUGGAAACAGGUCCCCCGCUUGCGGUCG